rnacentral:lncRNA from 1 species
CCUUUUUCCUAUUUUUUGCUCAUUUUUCAUUCUUUGCCACAAUGUAAUAGCUUUAAACUGCAAUGAUUUCUCUCAUCUUUCAUAAUAUGUAGGGUUAAUACCUGAUACAAUUCACUUAUUCACAUUCUUAACACAUAGGUGAAGCAUGAGGUUGAGACUACCUUGAAAGUCAACAAGCAAGGUGUUCUCAGCUUUCUGGGAAGAUACCAGGACAAAUCCAGUGACAUAGACUUCAGACAUCUUUUACAUGUGAAUAUGAUGCACUCAUUCCAGCUUGAGUAUCCACAAGCAAUGGGCCUAAGUGGGGAGCUAUUUUCUAGGCGGACCAAUCCAGAACAUUUUGACUACAGGGUGAACGUAAAAGCGAUCAUCAACAAGACCAUGUCUUCACAGGUCAGUUCCCUAUUUACUACAGUCUCCUUGCAUGAACUUUCAGGCAAACAAAUUAUUCAAUUUAAUUUUUUAAUCCCUCUGACUGACGUAUUUUAAUGGGUUCAUGAGACUAUCAAACCUUGUUUCUGCCUACAGUCUUAUUUCUCAGAAUGGUGUUUUAGUAUGAUUUCAUUAUGUUGUUGGUGUUUUAUUAUGAUAUGAGAUUCUUAAUGACCUGUUCUCGAUUUUCUCUGUGCAUAGGCCCAAGCAGCACUGAAGAGUUGUGAUGAAAACAAGCUCAAUGGCUCUCUUUACCUUCAUUUUAAUGGAGGGGAUGUGCUGAUGCUGGAAGUUGAUAUGAACAAAGAAAAUAGGAAGAAUGCUAGAGGUGUUGAACUGAGGGCUUUUCUCCACCAAGCAAUCCUUACAAGCCCUGAAUCAGUACAGCUCCAGCUCAUGUGCAAAAUGUUUCCAUCGAGGUAGAAAAAUCAGAAUCUUGGUUAAUAGAGGAGCUGAACUGUGUUCUGUGAUAAAUAUCUAAAUGUAACUAUCUUCAUAUAGCUGCAGUGUAAGCCACUGCCAUUUCAUGCAGUAGUCCUGUUAGUGAAACACUCUUUUUUAAAGAAUUGGUAAAGGAAAAAAUUCAAUCUAUACAGUUUUCAGUCACUGACCAAUGAAAUGAAUAUUACUUUGUUGACAUGUAAUUCAAUUCUAUCCAACAAGUAGAUUUUUGUUAAGGUUUUAUUUGUUAUCAAUCUUUUAAGAGGGUUCAAACUUUUGGGAAGGCUCUCUAACACUCUGCAAAUAGGAUUGUCUCACCUUAAGGUAUACUGUGUAGUAUACUUGAUUCCAGAAAGUCAGAUAUUUCAGUGGACUUCUUGAAAGAAAUUUGCAAAUUGUGUCUGUUUUGUACUUGAAACACUGAAAACUGAGCUUCUUGUUUUUCCAGAUUUCCCUAAAAAGUUGUGCUAUGUUUCUCCAACACUGUUCAGCUCAGGGCUAAGAUGCAAAGAAAUGAUUGUUGGUUCAUUUACCAACACCAGAUGUUAGUGGCUGUUAUGGUUUAACCCAGCUGGCAGCUAAGUACCGCACAUCCAUUGGUCACCCUCCCCCCUCCCUCUCCGGGUUGGGGGAGAGAAAUGGGAAAGUGAAACCAAUGAGUUGAGAUGAAGACAGUUUAUUAAGACAGGAAAAUAAUAAUAACAGUAAUAAUAAUGGUACUACUAAUAAAGUGUAUGAAACAAGUGAUGAACAAUGCAAUUGCUCACCACCCACUGACAGAUGUCCAGCCUAUGCCCGAGCAACCAGCCCCCCCACCCCAGCCAGCCAGCCCUAUAUAUUGUUUAGCAUGAUGCCAGAUGGUAUAGAAUACCCCUUUGGCCAUUUUGGGUCAGCUGUCCUGGGUCUGUCCCCUCCCAGCUCCUACUGCACCCCCAGCCUGCCCGCUGGCAGGACAGAGCAAGAAGCUGAAAAGUCCUUGGCUUAGUGUAAGCACUGCUCUGCAACAAUUAAAACGUCAGUGCGUUUUUAACACUUUUCUCAUCCUAAUCCAAAACAUAGCACCCUACCAGCUACUAGGAGGAAAAUUAACUCUAUCCUAGCUGAAACCAGGACACAGGACAGUGGCAUUUCAAAUUAUUGUUAAUGCUGAAUUCUCGAUGAUGAGCUUUAUAAUUCUGUUUCUAAAUCGGCAUUGAAGGGAGAUUUCAUGUUGUGGCAGAGAUUAAUUUAUCUUCAAUUCUAUCUAAUUCUGUCCAACUCUAUCUACUCCUUCAAUCUGCCAAUCUCUGAGACUCUAUUGAGUAUUUUUUUAAUACCAAAUUAGACAAGUGGUGAAUAUCAUGUACUAUUCCAUAUAUCAUGUACUAUUCCAAUGCAUCUGACUCACUGAUUCACAACACUGGAGCAAAUUGCCCAGAAAGUCUGCAGAGUCUCCUUUGUUGGAUAUACUUAAAACCUGACCUUACACAGACCAGAGCACCCCACUCUUGUCAAUCCUGCUUUGAACAGGGUGGGGGUGAUGAUCAUGAAAUAAGCAUUAUAAUGGGACCUUACUGGCAGUUUUUAUCUCCGUCUUUUUAGACUUCUGAUAUCUUCUGUGAUAAAAUUUAAUGAGAAUGGGCUUCAUGUGGGAGCCCAUUUCAUGGGAGCCAGACAGCAGAAAGUUGGUUUUGUCUUGUCCCUAAAUGGAAGAGUCCAACACACGUUUUCUGGAUUCAAGACUAUACCUCAUCUCCUUUCUCUGAAUGGAUUACUAAAGCACAAAAACAACAUUCACGAUGGUAUGUUCUUACUUUGUGUUUUGCUGCAGCUAUCCAAGACAACGUCUUAAAAUAUUUCUUACUGAACUGCAUUUGAUGCAGAGAGUAUUUAACAAUCAAAAUGAACUAUUGAUCGUUGAGUUGAAACUACUUCUGAAUGAAUUCACAUAGAUGCAGUUGCAUUUUUUUUUUUGUUUUAUAAUUUUCAUGUUUUUGCUAAUUGAAGGAAGUGGGAGGCAUCCUUCCUAUGCAGUCCUUCUGAAUCACAGAGGGAGACAGACUUGGGACCCUUACUCUUCUGAAUGGUUCAUGGAUGCAAUAGGGCACUGCAGAGUUCCAGUGGGAUUGUCUAGCUUGGAGGCAUACGAGUAGCCUUUGUGAUAGGUCACAGUCCCUGUGUAAGUUUUCCCUCAGAGAGCACUGCAGUGUAGUCUGUGGCCUAAAGGGUCAAGGAACUGAUGAAUAAAAAGAAAUGGUUGUCAGAAGUACCAUUAUGUAAUUUGUUUUAAACAUAGACACUUCUAUUAGUAGAUAAACUCUCUCUCAAGAAUAAACUGAUUUGCUACCUGGAUUCAGGUAAAUUAUCUAUUAAAUGAAUUUCCAUUGAUUAUACUUCCUCCUGAUAUUAAAUAAAUGGUUAAGAUGUUGCUCAUCAAAUCCUGGUUACUUCUGUCCCAAAGGGCACCUCUCUCCAUUAAUCAUUUCUGUUCA